GACGAACGCUGGCGGCGUGCUUAACACAUGCAAGUCGAACGAAGUGGCGAACGGGUGAGUAACGCGUAAUCAACCUGCCCUUCAGAGGGGGACAACAGUUGGAAACGACUGCUAAUACCGCAUACUGUAGGAGGGGAUUGCGUCUGAUUAGCUAGGUGGAGGGGUAACGGCCCACCAAGGCGAUGGUCAGUAGGCGGUCUGAGAGGAUGAACGGCCACAUUUGGGCUGGGACACGGCCCAGACUCCUACGGGAGGCAGCAGUGGGGAAUCUUCCGAAAAGGACGAAAGUCUGACGGAGCAACGCCGCGUAAGUGAUGACGGCCCUCGGGUUGUAAAGCUCUGUUAAUCAGGACGCGGUACCGGAAGAGAAAGCCACGGCUAACUACGUGCCAGCAGCCGCGGUAAUUC
rnacentral:rRNA from 1 species